GCAUAUCAAUAAGCGGAGGAAAAGAAACCAACAGGGAUUGCCCUAGUAACGGCGAAGUGAAGCGGCAACAGCUCAAAUUUGAAAUCUGGCCCUAGCGGUCCGAGUUGUAAUUUGUAGAGGAUGCUUUUGGUUAGGUGCCUUCUGAGUUCCCUGGAACGGGACGCCAGAGAGGGUGAGAGCCCCGUACGGUUGGACACCGAGCCUCUAUACAGCUCCUUCGACGAGUCGAGUAGUUUGGGAAUGCUGCUCUAAAUGGGAGGUAAAUUUCUUCUAAAGCUAAAUACCGGCCAGAGACCGAUAGCGCACAAGUAGAGUGAUCGAAAGAUGAAAAGUACUUUGAAAAGAGGGUUAAAUAGCACGUGAAAUUGUUGAAAGGGAAGCGUUUGCGACCAGACUUUUUCCAGGCGGAUCAUCCGGUGUUCUCACCGGUGCACUUCGCCUGGUUUAGGCCAGCAUCGGUUUUCUUAGGGGGAUAAAGGCCUGGGGAACGUAGCUCCUUCGGGAGUGUUAUAGCCCCUAGCGUAAUACCCUUCGGGGGACCGAGGAACGCGCAUCUGCAAGGAUGCUGGCGUAAUGGUCGUCAACGACCCGUCUUGAAACACGGACCAAGGAGUCGAACAUUUGUGCGAGUGUUUGGGUGUUAAACCCUCACGCGUAAUGAAAGUGAACGGAGGUGAGAGCCCUUCGGGGUGCAUCAUCGACCGAUCCUGAUGUCUUCGGAUGGAUUUGAGUAAGAGCAUAACUGUUCGGACCCGAAAGAUGGUGAACUAUGCGUGGAUAGGGUGAAGCCAGAGGAAACUCUGGUGGAGGCUCGCAGCGGUUUCUGACGUGCAAAUCGAUCGUCAAAUCUGCGCAUGGGGGGCGAAAGACUUAUCGAACCAUCUAGUAGCUGGUUACCGC
rnacentral:rRNA from 1 species